rnacentral:rRNA from 1 species
GACGAACGCUGGCGGCGUGCCUAAUACAUGCAAGUAGAACGAGUUGCGAACGGGUGAGUAACGCGUGGUAACCUGCCUCGUAGCGGGGGGUAACUAUUGGAAACGUUAUCUAAUACCGCAUACUUUUGGAGGGACCUGCGUUGUAUUAGCUAGUUGGUGGGGUAACGGCUGACCUAGGCGACGAUCCCUAGCUGGUCUGAGAGGAUGACCAGCCACACUGGAACUGAGACACGGUCCAGACUCCUACGGGAGGCAGCAGUGGGGAAUAUUGCACAAUGGGCGAAAGCCUGAUGCAGCCAUGCCGCGUGUAUGAAGAAGGCCUUCGGGUUGUAAAGUACUUUCAGCGAGGAGGCGUUACUCGCAGAAGAAGCACCGGCUAACUCCGUGCCAGCAGCCGCGGUAAUAC